rnacentral:rRNA from 1 species
GAGUUUGAUCUUGGCUCAGAGUGAACGCUGGCGGUAGGCCUAACGCAUGCAAGUCGAACGGCAGCACAGAGGAGCUUGCUCCUUGGGUGGCGAGUGGCGGACGGGUGAGGAAUACAUCGGAAUCUACUCUGUCGUGGGGGAGUAACGUAGGGAAACGUUAACGUCUAAUAACCGCCAUACGACCUACGGGUGGAAGACAGGGGAGUCUUCGGUACCGUUCGUCGG